rnacentral:rRNA from 1 species
UACGAAGGGGGCUAGCGUUGCUCGGAAUUACUGGGCGUAAAGCGCACGUAGGCGGCUUCUUAAGUCGGUGGUGAAAUCCUGGAGCUCAACUCCAGAACUGCCUUUGAUACUGGGAAUCUCGAGUCCGGGAGAGGUGAGUGGAACUGCGAGUGUAGAGGUGAAAUUCGUAGAUAUUCGCAAGAACACCAGUGGCGAAGGCGGCUCACUGGCCCGGUACUGACGCUGAGGUGCGAAAGCGUGGGGAGCAAACAGG